UGCCAGAUUUCUCCACGCUUUAUCAAAACAGAAACGCUGGCAGUUGAGGCGCUCUCAGCCCUCCAGGGAUGUUCUGCAUCCUCCAUAAGCCCCAAAGAGGCAAUGAGCGUCUCCUGCGCCGCGGCGGGGAGGGGUGGGCAAUAUCCCGGAGUGCUUUCCUUCUAAAAGAAACACUGAACGAGCCCGGCACUCAGCAGCACUUCCAGUAAAACCCAUUCAAUCUCGGCAAUUCAUCCCACAAAUAUGUGUGGGAUGCUGGGAACUCCUCGGGACCGACGGGCACAGAUGGGCUCCGUCUGGAGCAGCGGCCGCAGCUCUUUGCUCCGCGUGGUAACGGCGUGAGUAACCAGAGACCUCCAUCCAGAACUUUAUUUAUCUUAUCUCUGGAACUCGGCGAAGCAUUUCAGGCUGUGACUUCUGCGGGGGAAAAAAAAAAAAAAAAAGGAAAGGAAAGGAUGGAAGAAAGGCUGUUAAUCAAAGAGCCCCCAGCGGGAACCUCCACGUUUACUAGAAAAGGGAAAAGUUCAGGCGCUGAUUUGCCCGGGGGUUGUGCAGGAAGGGAUGAAGUAAAGGCUGGGACGGUGCAGGGCGAGCCGGGCUGCGAAAUGGAACGUGAAGAAAUGAAGAGCUGGAGCUGCUGGGGGGGAUUUCUGUGGAUGUGAGGACGGGAAGCGCCGGCGCUGUCAGCGCCCAUCCCGGCACGGGGCCGCGGCACCCCCGGGUGGGGAAAGGGGGACGGUCAGCCGGCGGCGUUGGGUGAAUAGCUGCCCGUGGGGGCAGAGGGGUGGGCGGAGCCGCUGCCCCCUCCCUGCUAUGCAGGCCGUGUCAGCUUCACAGCCGUGUCCGGCCAUUCCCCGCGGCGCUGCGGUAGCCCCCACAACGCGCUGCUGCUCCUCGUGAGCCCCCGUUUCCCUUCGUGAGUCCCCCCGAUUCCCUCACGAAGCUCUCUGUCCCUGCGUUCUCUCCUCCCCCCGAUGCGUGUGACCGCACAGCACCCCGUGACCGCACAGUGCCCCGUAACGCCCGCCCCUCCCCCCCGGACCCCCGCAGGGCCGCUCCCCACGUUCCCGCCACCCGCGCGCUCCCUU
ensembl:lncRNA